AACGAACGCUGGCGGCGUGGAUAAGACAUGCAAGUCGAACGGAUUUAGUCUUGUAGCAAUACAAGGCUGAGUCAGUGGCGCAAGGGUGCGUAACACGUGGGCAACCUGCCCUGGAGACUGGGAUAGCCCGCCGAAAGGCGGAUUAAUACCGGAUGCGGCUACCGAAGGAAUCUUCGGGACGCUAAAGGUGGCGCAAGCUACCGCUCUUGGAUGGGCCCGCGGCCUAUCAGCAGUUGGUGAGGUUACGGCUCACCAAGGCGAUGACGGGUAGCUGGUCUGAGAGGACGACCAGCCACACUGGAACUGAGACACGGUCCAGACACCUACGGGUGGCAGCAGUCGAGAAUUUUUCUCAAUGGGG
rnacentral:rRNA from 1 species